UCAGCACACAGGCACAACUCUACUCAUCACUGCGCUCUUAAACUCACUGUCAUACAGCACCGCACAACAAAAACAGACCCUGCUGUUAUUCAAAACACCACAGAAGGAAAAAGACCCACCAAACAAAACCCAAAGUCCUCCAUGGAGUCAGACUUUCCUGCACAUCAACACCAGCACUGAUUCAUGAAACAUGAAAUUCAUGUUUUAAUCAGAUCAGCUCCAGACUGAAUGUGGAGCAUUUCUACCUCCUAAAGCUCCACCACGAGCUAUUACUGUGUGAUACUGCAAAUGUAGAUGCCGAGUAAAUACAGGACCAGUACUGCUGAUACCAAUACUUUUAACUCAUAAAAGCAGCCUAUGUACAAGAGAGCAGUGUGUCAUGACUCAUGAGAUGAUCUACAUACACUGAACUUAGCAGAUAGAAACAAAGUAUCGAUGCUAUCGCACUACCAUCGACACUAUCGAUACUUGUAUCGAUCCGCCCACCUCUACAGGAGCCGAGAGGAACCAUGUCAAUCAGACUCGUUGAAUAUUGUUAUUAUUUUACCGCUGAUCGGUCAGAAAACUUCCCGUUUCACCUCCAGCUGAGCCACAUGGACAUCAAGCUGAAUUAAUUUAAGAACAAAUGAAAGAAAAACGCCGUUUACGCAUAACGUCGGUUUAUCGCAGUCUGGUUGUGACGCCAUCGCCUUACUGUUUACAUGUGACCACAGCGGAUCAUCUGCCUCCACCUCACCCUCUCUCGUCUGUCCUGUCACAACACCUGUCUCCAUCAUGAAUUGGAUAACCGAGGAUGUUCCUCCCAUCAGUAACUCACCUUCAGCUGUCUCACCUCCAGCCGCUCUCAGCUUCCUGUAACAAUAUGACUGAUAUCACAAUAAAAUGUCAAAAACUACAAAGAAAAAAGGAGAACGUGUAAAAAUGUGUGAGUAGCUGCUCAGAAUAAAACAGGGACUCAUAACUUUAUGUGUUUACUGUCGUCUGGAAUA